rnacentral:rRNA from 1 species
CCUACGGGAGGCAGCAGUGAGGAAUAUUGGUCAAUGGACGAGAGUCUGAACCAGCCAAGUCGCGUGAAGGAUGACUGUCCUAUGGGUUGUAAACUUCUUUUAUAUGGGAAUAAAACGUUCCACGUGUGUGCUUUUGUAUGUACCAUAUGAAAUAAGAUCGGCCAACCACGUUCCAGCCGCCCCGGUAAUACGGAGGAUCCGAGCGUUGCCCGGACUUAUUGGGUUUAAAGGGAGCGUAGGUGGAUUGUUAAGUCAGUUGUGAAAGUGUGCGGCUCAACCGUGAGAUGGCAGUUGAAACUGGCAGUCUUGAGUGCAGUAGAGGUGAGCGGAAUGCGUGGUGUAGCGGUGAAAUGCUUAGAUAUCACGAAGAACUCCGAUUGCGAAGGCAGCUCACUGGACUGCAACUGACGCUGAGGCGCGAAAGUGUGGGGAUCAAACAGGAUUAGAUACCCGUGUAGUC